rnacentral:rRNA from 1 species
UACGAAGGGGGCUAGCGUUGCUCGGAAUUACUGGGCGUAAAGGGCGCGUAGGCGGACAGUUUAGUCAGAGGUGAAAGCCCAGGGCUCAACCUUGGAAUUGCCUUUGAUACUGGCUGUCUUGAGUUCGGGAGAGGGAUGCGGAAUUCCAGGUGUAGCGGUGAAAUGCGUAGAUAUCUGGAGGAACACCGGUGGCGAAGGCGGCAUCCUGGACCGACACUGACGCUGAGGAGCGAAAGCCAGGGGAGCAAACGGG